rnacentral:rRNA from 1 species
UCGAAAGAGAGCCGUAACACAGGUGCUGCAUGGCUGUCGUCAGCUCGUGUCGUGAGAUGUUGGGUUAAGUCCCGCAACGAGCGCAACCCUUGUCAUUAGUUGCUACGAAAGGGCACUCUAAUGAGACUGCCGGUGACAAACCGGAGGAAGGUGGGGAUGACGUCAAGUCCUCAUGGCCCUUAUAGGUGGGGCUACACACGUCAUACAAUGGCUGGUACAAAGGGUUGCCAACCCGCGAGGGGGAGCCAAUCCCAUAAAGCCAGUCGUAGUCCGGAUCGCAGUCUGCAACUCGACUGCGUGAAGUCGGAAUCGCUAGUAAUCGUGGAUCAGCAUGUCACGGUGAAUACGUUCCCGGGUCUU